rnacentral:rRNA from 1 species
ACGGGGGGGGGCAAGCGUUGUUCGGAAUUACUGGGCGUAAAGGGCUCGUAGGCGGCCAACUAAGUCGGACGUGAAAUCCCUCGGCUUAACCGGGGAACUGCGUCCGAUACUGGAUGGCUUGAGUUUGGGAGAGGGAUGCGGAAUUCCAGGUGUAGCGGUGAAAUGCGUAGAUAUUGGCUGGAACACCGGUGGCGAAGGCGGCAUCCUGGACCGGCAUUGACGCUGAGGCGCGAAAGCGUGGGGAGCAAACAGGA